ACGCUUUUGAAAGAUGGUUUCGGCUAUCGCUUACAGAUGGGCCCGCGGUGCAUUAGCUAGUUGGUAGGGUAAUGGCCUACCAAGGCAACGAUGCAUAGCCGACCUGAGAGGGUGAUCGGCCACACUGGGACUGAGACACGGCCCAGACUCCUACGGGAGGCAGCAGUAGGGAAUCUUCCGCAAUGGACGAAAGUCUGACGGAGCAACGCCGCGUGUAUGAAGAAGGUUUUCGGAUCGUAAAGUACUGUUGUUAGAGAAGAACAAGGAUAAGAGUAACUGCUUGUCCCUUGACGGUAUCUAACCAGAAAGCCACGGCUAACUACGUGCCAGCAGCCGCGGUAAUACGUAGGUGGCAAGCGUUGUCCGGAUUUAUUGGGCGUAAAGCGCGCGCAGGCGGUCUUUUAAGUCUGAUGUGAAAGCCCCCGGCUUAACCGGGGAGGGUCAUUGGAAACUGGAAGACUGGAGUGCAGAAGAGGAGAGUGGAAUUCCACGUGUAGCGGUGAAAUGCGUAGAUAUGUGGAGGAACACCAGUGGCGAAGGCGACUCUCUGGUCUGUAACUGACGCUGAGGCGCGAAAGCGUGGGGAGCAAACAGGAUU
rnacentral:rRNA from 1 species